UACGUAGGGGGGCUAGCGUUGUCCGGAAUCAUUGGGCGUAAAGAGCGUGUAGGCGGUCCGGUAAGUCCGCUGUGAAAGUCGGGGGCUCAACCCUCGAAUGCCGGUGGAUACUGUCGGGCUAGAGUGCGGAAGAGGUGAGUGGAAUUCCUGGUGUAGCGGUGAAAUGCGCAGAUAUCAGGAGGAACACCUAUUGCGAAGGCAGCUCGCUGGGACGUAACUGACGCUGAGACGCGAAAGCGUGGGGAGCAAAACAGG
rnacentral:rRNA from 1 species